AGUGAACGCUGGCGGUAGGCCUAACACAUGCAAGUCGAACGGCAGCACAGUAAGAGCUUGCUCUUACGGGUGGCGAGUGGCGGACGGGUGAGGAAUACAUCGGAAUCUACUUUUUCGUGGGGGAUAACGUAGGGAAACUUACGCUAAUACCGCAUACGACCUACGGGUGAAAGCAGGGGAUCUUCGGACCUUGCGCGAUUGAAUGAGCCGAUGUCGGAUUAGCUAGUUGGCGGGGUAAAGGCCCACCAAGGCGACGAUCCGUAGCUGGUCUGAGAGGAUGGUCAGCCACCCUUGAACUGGAGCACGGGCCCGACUCCUAAGGGAGGCAGGAGUGGGGAAAUUUGGACAAUGGGGGCAAACCUGGUCCAACCAUUCCGGGUUGGUUGAAGAAGCCUUCCGGUUUGAAAGCCCUUUUUUUUGGGAAAAAAAGCAGCAGGUUAAUACCCCGCUGUUCUGGCGGUACCCAAAAGAUAAGCACCGGCUAACUUCGUG
rnacentral:rRNA from 1 species